ensembl:lncRNA
CCUCCCUAUCCUUAUUUAAGUGUUGACUGCCACAAAGGAAGGAUUUUUUCUUGGAAAUCCUCUCCAUUAGCUUACUUGGAGAGCCCAAGUCCUUGGAAAAGACUCUUCCAUCUAUGAGGAUGUGUGAGUAGCUUUUGUCCAGUGAAAAGAACCUUUGUUUGAAGGAACUUCUGUGAAGAGUGCCACUACAGAGAAAGUCAGGCACUAGUGAUGCAGAGGGAUCUGGCAGUGCUGGAAGAUCUAUGGACUGGGACACACAGUGCAUGAGUCUAUUUGAAACUGUUUGAUAAGUUACUCUGCUCACAGAACAAUUUGCUAAACCUGCUGCAUAUAUACAUGUUUGUUUAACAGCUCAGCGCUCUGCUUUUACUGUUGUAAAUGGAUCGUUCCAUCCAGAAGAUGGCGCUGUCUGCAUUUACUUCCAAAUUACUUACCACAAAAAAAAAAUUCUAUCCAAUUCAACCUUGAGUGUGGUAAUUCACUUCUGUGCAGGAUCGCAGAACACAUGACAAGCUGGGUCGUAAACAUCCAUGGAAUUGCUGUUUACCUGUAGUCAGUAAUCACAACUUUCUGAUCAGCCUCUCAGGCCAAACAGUCCCAGCAAUCUCAAGGAUUACUUACAUGUCUUAUGUUGUGUACCAUUAAUCAUCUUGGUGAUUGCCAUCAAAUGAAAUGAGCAAAUGAAAUGUGAACCUCCACGUCUCUCAUAUUGCUCUAGUGUUAUAAUUCUGCAAUAUAAAAUUUACUUUUAAUAUAUGUAUGAUAUAUAGCUCUAUACUGUGCGCACAUUCUCUUACUGUAUUGACCAUAGCACUGUUUUCUUGAACUUUUUGAGAGUUAAAAUAAAAAUCCAGAGCAAUAUUACUUCUUAGAAAUGAAGAUUUGUGGAAUUGUGAAAUUAAAGUAUAUUUUAUCCAUAUCAGAAUACAUUUGUAGUUUCUUGGCUAAAAUGAAAAAGUUAGCAUAUUUGUAUUAAAAAAAAAA